GCCAGACGUGGUGGCACACACCUGUAAUCCCAGCUACUUGGGAGGCUGAGACAGGAGGAUUGCAAGUGGAAGGCCAUCCUGGGCAAUUUAGCAUUACCCUGUCUCAA
rnacentral:sRNA from 1 species